UUAAGAUAGAGCGAUCUUACCUCGGUCAUCUCCUUCCGCAUUCUCUUGGUCCUCAGGGUCCUUCUUCUUGCCGAGCCUUUUCUCUCCGUGUUGCGUCCUUCUCGUUUGUGGUGUCCUGUGUCACGGGUGUUGGUGUGCGUUUGGCCCUGCGCUGCUCUGCCCUGCUGCGUAGCCAGGGUGUAGGGGUAAUAGGGCAUGCCCCAGGGACUUGAAGUUUGCAGUGUAGGGUGUAGUUGGAGUGUAGAGGGUAUUUCUAGAUGGGCACAAGAUGCCUGGAGCUUUUAAGUUAUCCUGCAGUGCUCUGGCUUUUGUCCUAACUUUCUUUCAGGUGCAGAUGGGUUAGAUCUGUGGCAGAGCACACCAGGGAGCAAACACUUGGGGGUGACAGACUUCCACACUGAGGGCAGCUGGCAAAAGAGGAGAGAGCCCCUGCGAGGCAGAGCCCCUGGAAGGCCCUGUCCUGGUCCGAGGUUCCCACUUUUCUCUCCGACUCCCAGAGAAUUGCUUGAGCAGAACCAGAGAGUGUCCAUUUCAUUUCCUGCCUUUUCCAAUAAACGGUGACUUUCA